UACGUAGGGUGCAAGCGUUGUCCGGAAUUAUUGGGCGUAAAGAGCUCGUAGGCGGUCUGUCGCGUCGGCUGUGAAAACUCGGGGCUCAACUUCGAGCUUGCAGUCGAUACGGGCAGGCUAGAGUUCGGCAGGGGAGACUGGAAUUCCUGGUGUAGCGGUGAAAUGCGUAGAUAUCAGGAGGAACACCUGUGGCGAAAGCGGCGCACUGGACCACAACUGACGCUGAGGCGCGAAAGCUAGGGGAGCAAACAGG
rnacentral:rRNA from 1 species